GAGAAUUUGAGGCCAGUGAAGUAGAAGACUCUGACAACGAUGGUGAUUAUGAUAGAGGCUGUGUUUGUAAUAUUCUAUGAUCCUGCUCCAUCACUUUCUUCCUCCCCACAAGUUCCUAUAGGGAGUCAAACUUGUGGAUGACUUCAUGAGGAAUGAAAAUGGUGGGACUGUCUAGAACAUGUCCUGGUGUUGUGCUUUUUGUAGGCAGAAAAGGGUCAUCAAUCAUGCUUGUUGAUUGAUGUUUUGGAAACACACUCAAUGGCGACAGCUUCUUGAAUUUCAAGAAUUGAUUUCUUUGCCUCC